rnacentral:tRNA from 1 species
GGAGCCGUAGCUCAACAGGAUAGAGCGGUGUAAAAAGGAGCUUUGCUAAAAGCUCAUGCAGCAAUUUUACAUAUGGAGGAUGCCCCACAGGUCGCAGGUUCGAAUCCUGCCGGCUCCG